rnacentral:tRNA from 1 species
UAUACUUAAAUGUAAAGAAGCAUGAUAAUUUUUGAUUUUAUAAGGGUUAGUUUAAUUCUAGCAAGUGUAA